GAAGAACUUGAGUGACAAUGUAAGAUGAUUCGACUUUUUCCAAUAGACAGCAGGAGCCACGGAAUGGUUGUGAGCAGGAGAGCACAAUCCCACAGGUAGCAUUUUGCCAAGUCUCGCCCACGAUGUCGGUCCAACCAUAUCUUCUCAUCUUCCAAGUGCAUCCCCAGCUCCGAUUUUACUCCUUGAAGACGCAGUCAAGACCUGCCUCCCCCACGAAGCCCCUUUCUGAUGACUGCAGCCGGUAGGCAGGUCCCUUUCUCUGGCCUCCUGCUGUUCUCGUUUAUGCUGACCCGUUUCAUGUCUGCCGUGUCUUACUUGUGUUUUCCGACCAGACUGAAGUCAGAGUUCAUGUCUUGCCCUUCAGAUAACAUCAUUGAGAUCGAAGUUAGAGCUCUGUGACAUUCACAAAUCCUACCUCUGAUUCGGGCUUUUCAAAGUGACAUCUGAGAGACUUGAAGAAAAGAUUCCUCUUGAGAUCCCCAGGUCCCAGUCGUUGGAAACCUGGCAACGAGCUGCCAGGUCAUGGUGAAGAGGAACAUUCUAGAUUGGCUUGUCAUCACUCGUGACUGUCUGAAAGCUCAGCCACUGGGGCAAACAGUCCUGGGAUAGGCCAUCCCUGCCCCACAGCAAAAGGAGUUUGGUCCUUGAGGGAAACUUGGAAAGCACAGAAUGAUACCAAUAACAUAGAAAUAAUCUCUAAUCCUGCCAGACAAAAAGUAGCAUCGCUAACCUUGGUGUGCUUUCCAGACUCCCAGCCCCACGCACUCAGGUAGACAGAUAGUCUGUCCUUGUUGAGAUCACGCUAUAUGCUGAGUUGGGUAACCUACUCUUUUCACAGAUAAUUACACCACGGUUGCUAAAACUCCUCCUGAAUAUAUUUAUGAAGUUUCAUCCCCAGGAACAGACUUUGAGAUGCGCGUUGGUGUGCAGGGUAUUUCUUAGGUGGAGACCUUGAAAUCAGCAGCUGCAGAAAGGGAGAGAAGGAGGCAGGAUGAGACAGAGGGAGCGGCUGAACUGGGAUGUAGGUGGGCUUCCAAGCCGGGUCUGGCCGCCCGCCCCUCGAAAGUUGAUGCUCAGGAGACAAGGGUUGGUAGCUAAGGAAAGGUUGCUUCUUUUAGGAAGCUGACAACCUGGGGAGAAG
ensembl:lncRNA